rnacentral:rRNA from 1 species
UACGUAGGGGGCAAGCGUUAUCCGGAUUUACUGGGUGUAAAGGGAGCGUAGACGGCAGGGCAAGUCUGGAGUGAAAGCCCGGGGCCCAACCCCGGGACUGCUUUGGAAACUGCCAUGCUGGAGUGCUGGAGAGGUAAGCGGAAUUCCUAGUGUAGCGGUGGAAUGCGUAGAUAUCGGGAGGAACACCAGAGGCGAAGGCGACUUACUGGACUGUAACUGACGCUGAGGCUCGAAAGCGUGGGUAGCAAAAAGG